AUUAUUUUUAGGUUCGCACUACAGGCCCUAUUGAUACACUAACCCACCAACCAAUUAAAGGAAGGAGCAAAGGUGGUGGCAUUAGGUUUGGCGAAAUGGAGAGAGAUUGUUUAAUAGCUCAUGGAGCUUCAUUCCUGUUGCAGGACAGAUUGCUUAACUGCUCUGAUAAAUCUCUCUCUCGUGUGUGUAGUGAUUGUGGCAGUAUAUUGUCUCCUAUUUGUCUCAAGAGAUCAGAGGAUCCUGCUCUUCCACAAGAGGAGAUGUGGGCGUGUAAAGUGUGUGAGGGAGGUGGACAUGUUGAAACAAUAUCGGUUCCUUAUGUCUUUAGGUAUUUCGUGGCUGAGCUGGCAGCCAUGAACAUUGGAAUUAAGAUUAAUAGGCGAGAGCUCAUGUCAAAAUGAUUAUUAUUAUAAGCAAUUUUUUGCCAUAAACAGAAUUAAUAGUUAUGUGUGUUACUGUUUCUCAUUAGUUGUUGGUUUCUUCUCUUGAUUCAUAAAGUCUUGGGCCUGUAAUGUAA